rnacentral:rRNA from 1 species
ACUCAAAGGAAUUGACGGGGGCCCGCACAAGCGGCGGAGCAUGUGGCUUAAUUCGAGGCAACGCGAAGAACCUUACCUGGGUUUGACAUGCAGGGAAAUCUCCCAGAGAUGGGAGGUCCGCAAGGGCCUUGCACAGGUGGUGCAUGGCUGUCGUCAGCUCGUGUCGUGAGAUGUUGGGUUAAGUCCCGCAACGAGCGCAACCCUCGUCCUAUGUUGCCAGCGGUUCGGCCGGGGACUCAUAGGAGACUGCCGGGGUCAACUCGGAGGAAGGUGGGGAUGACGUCAAGUCAUCAUGCCCCUUAUGUCCAGGGCUGCACACAUGCUACAAUGGCCGGUACAAAGGGCUGCUAAGCCGCAAGGUGGAGCGAAUCCCAAAAAGCCGGUCUCAGUUCGGAUCGGGGUCUGCAACUCGACCCCGUGAAGUCGGAGUCGCUAGUAAUCGCAGAUCAGCAACGCUGCGGUGAAUACGUUCCCGGGCCUUGUACACACCGCCCGU